GCGGCGGACGGGUGAGUAACGCGUGAGCAACCUGCCCUCCACAGGGGGAUAACGCACCGAAAGGUGCACUAAUACCGCAUAAGACCACGUUUCUGACAUGGGAAUGAGGUCAAAGGAGCAAUCCGGUGGAAGAUGGGCUCGCGUCUGAUUAGCUAGUUGGUGAGGUAACGGCCCACCAAGGCGACGAUCAGUAGCCGACCUGAGAGGGUGAUCGGCCACAUUGGAACUGAGAGACGGUCCAAACUCCUACGGGAGGCAGCAGUGGGGAAUAUUGGGCAAUGGGCGAAAGCCUGACCCAGCAACGCCGCGUGAAGGAAGAAGGUUUUCGGAUCGUAAACUUCUAUCCUUGGUGAAGAUAAUGACGGUAGCCAAGAAGGAAGCCCCGGCUAACUACGUGCCAGCAGCCGCGGUAAUACGUAGGGGGCAAGCGUUGUCCGGAAUGAUUGGGCGUAAAGGGCGCGUAGGCGGCCAACUAAGUCUGGAGUGAAAGUCCUGCUUUUAAGGUGGGAAUUGCUUUGGAAACUGGAUGGCUUGAGUGCAGGAGAGGUAAGCGGAAUUCCCGGUGUAGCGGUGAAAUGCGUAGAGAUCGGGAGGAACACCAGUGGCGAAGGCGGCUUACUGGACUGUAACUGACGCUGAGGCGCGAAAGUGUGGGGAGCAAACAGGAUUAGAUACCCUGGUAGUCCACACUGUAAACGAUGAAUGCUAGGUGUAGGGGGUAUCGACCCCUUCUGUGCC
rnacentral:rRNA from 1 species